UACGAAGGGGGCUAGCGUUGCUCGGAAUCACUGGGCGUAAAGCGCACGUAGGCGGAUUGUUAAGUCAGGGGUGAAAUCCUGGAGCUCAACUCCAGAACUGCCUUUGAUACUGGCGAUCUCGAGUCCGGGAGAGGUGAGUGGAACUGCGAGUGUAGGAGGUGAAAUUCGUAGAUAUUCGCAAGAACACCAGUGGCGAAGGCGGCUCACUGGCCCGGUACUGACGCUGAGGUGCGAAAGCGUGGGGAGCAAACAGG
rnacentral:rRNA from 1 species